CCAGAUUCUGCUAUUUCUCACGCUAUCUCCCACUCGCGGCGCCGGCGACUACACCAUUGAAACCCACAGGCCACACAGCGCAGGAACAAAAAACGGCGGCGCGAUAAGAAGGGCGCCGCUGUUGGCGCCGGGCCGGCCCGCUCCCGAGCGGUGUCCUUCUUCAGGUCCGCCCUCCGGAGCAACCCCUCUCACUUCCCCGCCGCGCCGCGUCGGACUGCGGACCCCUUGGGCUUGCGACGGUGCUGCUCAGCUGCUGCUGCUGGGGUCGGGGCUCGUGCUCGGGCGACGCGGGAUUUGAGUCGCCAUUAUUGGAUUUUUCUUCCAUUGAUUGCGAACAUUUUGUUCUGGUACGCUCUGUGUCUACUCCUGCUCGUCCUUGUCCCCCUCGUACUCGCGCCGCCGUCGUCGUCGUCGUGUCUUUGACCUUGAAUGCUAGAUUGCAUUCUUUCUUGGACGGAGGAAGCACUUAUUUGUGUAUAUUUCUACAUCUUCUAAACCCAAACCCUAGAUCGAAUCGAGUUUGUGCGCGGACCGUUCUCCGGAUCGGCUGUCGCUUCACAUAAACACCAGCAAGGUGCCGUCUCGCCGCCGUUCCAUUGCCUGGCAGUUGGCAUCGAUGGCGGCAGGGGCUGGGAACCAUGCGGUGGCGCCUGACAUGGCUUCCGAGUCAAGUUUGACCUGCUGCGGUGCUCUGCUACGCUACUCCUGAUGGAUGAAUGGAUCAUGGAUACUACCCCACUCCCCACUGGAGCCCUGAUGCUCCGCAGUGGUGAUAUCCUUCCCCCAGUGUUCUUAAGGCGCCUAGGCGAGCAAGUGGACCAGACAACCGCCUUAGCGCCUAGGCGGUGCCUAGGCGACGCCUAGGCGGGAAUGGCGAGCAAGGCGACCAGUUUUGCCCGGGCGCCUGGACGCCUAGGCGACGCCUUAAGAACACUGUCUUCCCCUGUUGUUGCCUCUUGCCUGUGGGAUAUUUAACUUUUUGCAAUCUUCUCUCCUUCACCCUGCCUUAUUUUUUCUAGGGGUGGGCACACCUGGUGGGGAGAAAUUUGUAAUUGUGUCAUUAUAAAACGUGUGUUUCGCUAGAUUGCCAUUAAAUAAAUGAGUUUUGUUCGUAUGCUAUUAUGAACAAUAACGUAUACGCUAAAAUGCCAUUUGCUUGUUUAAUAAAACAAAAAAGACUGAAUACAAUUUUGUGGAACAUUCUACCUUAUGGCCCUGCCUGAUGUCCUCUGCUCCUACUCCCGAACGAACCCAUGUUUCUAGAGAACUCGACGGUGGCCUCGAAGACCUGCUUGCUUGCAGUCGAGAAUGGCACGUCCCUGGCCACCAGCCCGAUGACCACUUGCGUAGGCCCGACAAGCAUCUCGCGUGCACUCGACGCGGAGGCUGGACCCAAGGAAUCUCAUGAGGUAGCUGCGGUUGCCGGCGGCAUGGUACAGGCGGCCGCCCAUAGGCUACAUGAGCUCGUCCUGGUACAUAGUGGAGUUGUAGUAGUCGCUGAGCUCCAGGAACGUGCGCGUGUAGGAGCCCCGGUAUGCGUCGGCGAAUGCAAACAGCCGCUCGAUGUGGUCGAGGAGGAGCGAAGACAUGUACGUCGCGUUGGCGGGCUUGUACACCAGGAACGCCGACGCGUCCCGAACUUCACGUGGUCGCCUGUGUCGUACAUGCCCCUGGAUAGGUCCAGCUUGGCAUCCUCGCCGUCGCGCAACGCCGAGUCCCCUCGCCACGAGAUCAUGUUGUUCACCAGCUUCCCGACGAGGAUGGACGCUGAAGGGCGACGACGCCGAUGAGGACAAGCAGUAGCACGCCUCCAUCGUCUGAUGAGGAUGAGCGGCGCACACUUGGCGGGAGAGCUGCAAGGCGCGGGCAACCAGCUGCAGGCGUGGCGCGGGGCCGAAGAGCACCAGCGCAAGCCCCUUGCAGGCGCGGGCUCAACACUGGAAAGAAGAAACACACGUGACGUAGAGAAAGGGAAAAGGAGGAGAGGGGCAAGACAAUCUGUUGGUUUUCUACAAUUAAAUUGGAGUUAUUUUAGUUUUUGUUAAACAACCAAAUGACAUUUUAGCGUGUACACCAUGGUUCAUAAUGGCAUCUGGAUGAAACCCAUUCAUUUGAUGGCAAUAUAGCAAAACCCACGUUUCAUAAUGACACAAUUCCAAAUUUCUCCCUGCUGGGUGCUUGUUGCCGGCGCGAAGGGUCCAACGAAGACACGGGUGCCUCCGUGCCUGCCAUAGGGUUGGCAUUGUGUGCUGCGAUCUGAUAUUCUGCUUUGAGCACAUGAUACCUUGCCACUCUGCUUUGCUCCGAAUGUUCCUAGCCGUAUGCUCCUCAUCCUCACCACCUCGGUUCAUUUGGAUGGGCAAUGCGUAAGGGAUCAGGAAUUCAGGAUCUGGAGAUAUAAAGAGGUGUUUUUCUGACUUGAGCGAAGUCCCAAGUGAAAAUUUAUUUAGUCCAACCAUGUUGGCCAUGGAAAUGGACUCGGACCGAUGAAUGGAUUGCUGAUGAGGGGCGAUGAUGUUCAACCUUUUAUAAAUUGCCUGCCAUUGAGCAAUAGUAUCUAUCAGAGCUAACCCUCUUCCCUCAUGAAGCCUAUUUUAAUCAUCCCUUUUUGUUUGUGGCUCUGACUAGGAUGGUCAUUUGGAUAUGUGACAACCAGCACAGUUCCACUUACAUUGGGAUUAGGGAUGAAAACGGAUACUUAUUCGGAUAUCAUCACCACCACACCACUCCCAUGGCGGUUUAAUCUGCUGUUUGAGUUGUUUCAUACUUUUAUUCUGUUUUGUAUUUAUGCUCUUGUGUGUUCUUAUCUGCAUGUUCUUUUGUGCCUUUUUGCAUGUCCUGUUGAUGCUGUACGCCUGCACCCUGCUCUAAGGCUGCCCUUCACUUGUCUUUCUGCUGGAUCUGGACCUGCUACCUGGGUCAAUAUUAUUGAGAAUUUGAGACUAAUAUGGCAAGUCAGUAUCAUCUCAUAUGCACCUACCUAAAUGCCCCUCAAGAAUAAAAAAAACAAGUUUCCAGUGUGGGGCAGUGAUCAAUAACUAUGGCUGACAAAAGCGCCUUGGAGCAAUCAAGGCUGCUAUGGGUACCAAACUGGAAUACUCAUGUCCAUCUCUUGGAGAUCUUUUCAAUUAGCUCUAAUGAUAGUGGCUUUGUCCCUGGAUGGUCAUGCCCUCUUCAUGUGUGAUAACCGGGGCAACUCCACUUAUCAUGUCAGGAGAAGUUGAUGUGGUGAUAAAAGAUGAUGGGGAUAAGGUUAAAUGAUUGGGCAAAGGCGAAGCUGAGCCCCCCUUUCAACACAUACAUGCAAAGAAAAGGGAAUAAGAAACAUGAGUUUAUGUUGUCUCUUCCCUUUUCUGUUGAAUAUGUUGUUGCUGUGUGUUUUCUUGUCUAACCUACAUAUUUUCUAACUCCAUUCCUUUUGUUGCAUUUGUCAAACACCAUGCAUUUACCUUUGGAUUCCAUUUAUCAGUAGGUUGAGAUGUUUCCUAGUUUCUGACAUUGAUUCUGCUAUAAUUGUUUGCAAUAGCCGUGUUUUGCAUGAUGGAUACUUUCUGAUAACUUUGUUCAUCCCAGAAUUUAUUGCAGAAUUUCAUGAGUUAUGUCUCACUACUGUUGGAACUGGGUAGUUUGGAAAUAAGAGGGCAUUGUGUUUUCCCAAUUACUUCUUCUGGUCCAUCAUAACUAUUACAGCUGUGCAGGGUGCAACAUUGGUCCGUUUUGGUAGUUCCUAUGCAUCCCUUUGUUCUUCAGAUAUUUUUUGUCGCUUGUCUGAUGGUCUUCCUUUCUUGUUUGGAACUGUUCUUCAGUGGCUGUGACGAUCAAAUGCCCCAGCUCCAUAAAGCUAUUACGUUUUAGCAUUCUGGAUUCUUACCUUUGGUAUUUUGCUCAAUAUGCUGCUAAACUAGGAUGGCUUGUACCAUGUACAAGCAACCGGUUUGCAACUAGUUGUUGUCAUUGCUAUGGUGGUGGUGUAGUAUAUAUCCAACUGAACAAUCCUACUCAAAAAGUUCAUUUAGAAAGGGAUGGAGGGAGUACACGUUUCUUCUGCAAGUAUUGUGUUGAUACUGGGGCACAUCUGAGCCAUCCAACAUGACAUUACUCUUUUUGUUCUGUCAUAUACUUUUGUUUACGAGUCUAUUUCGUCUGUGUAUCCUACCAUUUUCAGUGAUUUCAACUUGGGAUCAGGAUCAUGAUACUGAUGGGGCGAAUUGUCAACAUUGAUUUGAUGUCACAAUAUUCUUGACUUGGGUAAAUUCGGUGCAUAGAUUCCUCGUGUUUUUGGUUUGGAUGCUCAAACUUAGUUGGAUGAAUUGCUCAUUUUGUUCUAAAGAACGAUUUUCUUUUCCACACUCAUUUAACUAGAUUCAAUCGUCCACUAAUACUUAUAAGUGGUUCGCUAAUGUGUCCUUACUUCUGUGGCAUGAGGCAUUAGUGGUCCUAAUCACGUCCCAUGGCCUUGAUGAAUCUUGAUUGAUCAGUCAAACGGAUACACAUGCUACAUCAUAGCCAUGAGCACGACUGUACUUUCUGGUCAUGUGCGUGAAAGCUUCUCUAUGCAUGUGCUAUUCACAUAUGAGCAGACUAUUUCUUUCUGUGUUGUUCACAUGCAUAUCAAUCGAUUUUGCCAAGUGCGGAAACAUUGGGAGUUGGGAUGACAAGUUGUUGGAGAGGGUUUUCUUUCAAUCCUGCCAAAAAAACCAAGAUUGGGAGUGGGUUCUGGGAAAUAUUGGAGAUGCUUUGAUUGGGAUUAGUGGUUGUUCACAUAUCUUCGCUACUGAUGGCUGGAACAUGAAUACUUCUCCUGAUUCGCUGCAUUGGUGAUCUCCUUCCCCUGCAGUUGCCUCUGGAACAUUUAACUUUUUUGCCAUCUUCUCUCCUUCACCCUUGCCUUUUCUCCCCUUCCUCUUCUCUCCGCUUGUGCUCUCUUUCAUGUUGAUCACUGGGUGGCAGCUGCCGCUCUAUGCAGGUGCCUUGGUCUUGUUGGGCCCUUUGCCAGGUCUUAAUCCGGCACUUUGCUGGCGACAGAAUCACUUGCUGCAAAAGCUGAAUCCUUAGAGCUUUUCAGUGUUGAGAGACAACUGAUUAGUUCCAAAGGUAGGAAGUUAAUCUCCAGCUAGGUAACGACUCGUUGAUAGCUAUGAAAGCUAGGUUUUACGGCUUACAGAACCUUGUUAAGCAAGGAAUCAGCACCACAGCUGGGAAUGUUUGUGCCAUUUUCACUUCCAGCUCCUGCUCUAAUCAAGUCAAUUCCAACUUGGACUAUCACACAGAUAGUGCUAGGCGAGUAAUCACUAAUCAGGUAAGUUGACUUGCCAUAGGGGCACACACUUGCCUGUUCAGCCAUCCCUUUUUGUUCGUGGUUUUGCCUAGGAUGGUCACUUGGAUGACAACAAGCACAGUUCCUGUUGGAACUGCGACUUCUGAGGUGGUAUGUGUGGUGAGGGGAAGGUUGAGGCUCAGGACCACGGAGCUUGGGCACCGUGGCUGCUAGCUGGAAGAGUCGAAGGGACGAGGAACUGUUCACGCAGCGUGGCGAACAGUAGUUGUAGGUGAAUAGUGACGCGAAUGAACAGUACCUUGGAUGAACCGUAUGCGGCGAGCAGUAUAUGGGUUUGGGGAAGCACGGGCAAGAUACUUGCCUGCUUACUCUUUCAUUGAUCGAAGGGUACAUUAGCAACCGUCCUUAUCUAAUAUUUUAUCUAACCAAUUUCUUAUCCUUCUAAACAAACUCUGUUUGUUCUCAUACAUCCAAACAAACUCUAUCCCCAGACUACGACUGGCGCUUAUCCAUCUAAACAACUAGCUGAUUUUAUUAGGGCUGUUGUGCUGCCGGUCAUAACAGUUCCACUCACAUUAGGAUGAGUAAAUUGGGCAGCAAGAGAAGGGAGGACCUGGUUUCUAUGAUUGAGCACAGGUGAUGCUAAGCCCUUUUUGUAUGGUUUAUGCUGCGAUGCUUUAUGACUAUGUUUUUUUGUUUCAUACUGCACUUGGGUGGCUAUGAUGGUUCAACUUUCCAUUAACGAGCUUCUGCACUCUACUACCAUCUUAUGAGCUGGACUGGGAUAUUUUAUGAUGUUUGCUGCUUAACUAGGAUGGCCCAUGCCUUACUAGAAGGUGGUUCUAUCUCUGUUUGCUUCUUAACUAGGAUGCCUUGCGCCUCUAGCAGUCACCCAAAAAAAAACAAGUCUACUGCUGGCUGGCUGGAUUGGAUACAUGUAUUGGUCAUGAUGAUUCUCUCGUCAUUACUCUUUAGCACAGAUGCGCUGCAGUGAUGAUCCCCAGAUCCACUGCUGUUGCCUGUGUUGCCAUCUGCUCUGAUGACCCUGUUCACCCCUGCCUUUUCUUCUCGUGUUCACCUUGUCUCCUCUCUCUCUCUCUCUCUGUGUGUGUGUGUGUGUGUUCUGCACCGCAGGAAGGGCAUACCUAGUGGAUGCUCAUUGCCGGAAAAGUGCCUGACAAACCUGGCGAAGGGUCCAACAAAGACCUGGGCACCACGUUGGACAUGGAAAGGGGUCCUAUUCUGUGAAUGGAGUGCUGAACGGCUGAUGAGUGAUGAGGGGCGAUGAUGCUCAACCUUUUCUGGAUUGCAUGGCACUGAACAAUGAAGGCAGCUACGAGUGUCUAAUUAGAGCUAACCCUCUCUCCUCUUGAAGCUUAUUUUAAUCACCCCUUUUUGUUUGUGGUUCUGCCUAGGAUAGUCAUUCAGAGAUGUGACAACCAGCACAGUUCCACUUACAUUGAGAUGACUAAGUUGCGCUGCAAGAGAAAUGUGAAGUCGUUUUGCAUGAUUGAAUAAGGGUGAUGCUGAGCCCUUCUUUUAUAGGUUAUGUUAUCAUGCUUUAUGUUUUAUCCUUUUGUUUUAUACUAACUCUUGAGUGACUAUGAUGGUUCAAAUUUCCAUUAGAGAGCUGUGCACUAAAGGAGAUGUCCUCCAUCUUGAUUUGAGAUCUUCUGAGCUGGUACUGCAGAUACAGUCCAAACAAAAAGCUAUUCUGUCUCCAUUUGUUGUGUAACUAGGAUGGCUUGUACCUCACUAGUCACUACCUCCAUCUCGAAAGGAAUGCAAUUUUGUCUAUGCACCCUGACAAGCAUUCGUUUUGGGGGCAGUGGUAAGUACAAGUAACCAGUUAUGCGGCCAUGGGAGAGACAGAAAGAGAGAGAGAGAGAGAGGUUACAUUGUGCUUCCACUAUAAAUUGCACUUGCUAUGAUGAUAAUGGUUGAAUCUGAGCCACUCAAGUGACCUUUUUCCUCCUAGUACCACUGUCUGAAUACUCCUGCCCCCUUACCCCCAAUUCCCAUGGUGUUUUAAUGAUUGGUUUUGCUGAUGUUGCAGCUAAUGAGACAGCUAAUCUGCUCUUUGAAUUGGUUAAAGCUUUUAUUCUGUUUUGUACUCGUGUGCUCAUAUCUGCUUGUUCUUUUGUGCUACUUUGCAAGUCCUGUUGAUGAUAUGCCCUGAUUUUGGGCUGUUCUUCAUUUGCCUUGCUGCUGGAUUUGAACCUGCGCCCUUGGUUAAUGUUUGUAGGACUGAUAUGCUAAGUUAGUUCCAUGUCAUAAGUUCCUACCUAAGUGCCGCUCAAUAACGAUGAAAUAAAAUUCCAAUGUGAGGCAAUGAUCUGUAUCAUGGUUGACACAAGCACCUUUGAGCAAUCAAGGCUGCUAUGUUGUUAACCUUGCUCUUAGAGGACAUGGAAAUGGACUCGAAUAUGUGAAAUGGACUGCUGACGAAGGGCGAUGAUGCUCAACCUUUUCGGAGUCGCACGCCAUUGAGCAACCAAGGCAGCUGCGUGUCUGGUAGCCUAUUUAAUAAUCCCUUUUUGUUUGUGGUUCUGCCUAGGAUGGUCACCUGGAUGGAUAUAUGACAACCAGGACAGUUCCACUCACAAUAGGAUGAGUAGAUUGGGCAGAAAGAGAAGGGAGGGCCUGAUUUCUAUGAUUGAGCAAAGGAGAUGCUGAGCUGAGCCCCUUUCGUAUGGUUUAUGCAGCGGUGCUUUAUGGCUCUGUUUUUUGUUUCAUACCGCGCUUGAGUGGCUAAGAUUGUUCUGCUUUCCAUUACAGAGCUUCUGCACUCUACCAUCUUCUGAGCUGAUGAUACCUGGGAUAUUCUUUGACGUUUGCUGCUUUACUACGAUGGCCCAUGCCUUACUAGAAGGUGAUUCUAUAUCUGUUUGCUGCUUUAACUAGGAUGCCUUGCACCUUAGAGCAUCUCUAGCAGUCACCAAAAGAAAAGACAGGUUGUGCAUCCUUGACAACAAAUUCACCUCCCCAUGAUAGGGAGUAGCGGUCAUCCGUGUAUCUCUGCGUGUUUUUUCCAAGCGUUGAUAGAUUCGGGAGUUGUAGCAAGUUCUUUUUUUUUCUUGUUCAUGUCAGAUUGAGUGGUUUGUUUUUUUUUCUUACACAAUUGCCAUUGUGCUGAUAAUGGUUAGAUUUGAGUCACUCAAGUUACCUCCUUUUCUUCUAGUACGACUGCACCCCUCGCUCCGGCGGUUUGUAUUGCCGCUGAUCCAGUUAAUGUGCUCUUUGAGUCGGUUCAUACUUUCUAUUCCGUUUUGUAUCUUGUACUGUGUCGUCUUGUUCUUUUGUGCUCUUUUCCAUGUCCUGUUGGCGCUCUUCACUUGUCUGGGGCACCGGCCACCGCUGCGCCAUUCCCCGUCUCGCUCCAACACGUGGUAGCAACGGUGGCCGCCACCUCUUCUCGGUUUGCUUGGACUUCUCUACUGCCGUUGCCGCUUCACGGAUCAGUAAUAAAUCUUACAAGCCUGUUUACAAAUGCUAUUCAUUUUGCAGCUGUUUAGUCCAUCACGGAUUCUUUAUGGAGUUUCCCAAUCUAAAUCUCUGGUAGCUGGUGUUUGAAUCUUUCAAUGUCAGAAAUGUAGUGGUUAUUGGCUAGGGAUCCAUGAGGCUGCGGUGUGUCUUACCAAUCAGAGAUCUAUCUGUCUGUUAUGGUAUCUUUUACGCUAAUUCUUUAAUUCAAUAAUUAUGAGAUUUUGGUGAUGACUGGUCAAAAUUGAGCCAGCUCUGUAAUUCAUAAUUCAUAGUUUGGUAAUUCAAUAAUUAUGAGAUUUUGGUGUACAGAUUAUUUUGACGAAACAAAUGCUGUAGUGCUGUACAUUAAGUAGGCGCGGGAUGGGCUUGUGGUGGAGGGAAUGCCGUGGUGGAAGGGAGUGGAGAGCAGCGCAGUGGAGUCUUGGAGACUGGAGACACCGUGCACAACGCGAUCCGCAUCUGCUUGUUUGUAUAGUUACGCAGCAGGAGUCCAUGGAAAUCACAAAUGUCGACCACGCAAGUCACACCGCCACGUAUGGGCGCCAUGUCAAAUGUAAGUGAGCCGGCAAAGGGCCCACUCCAAAUCAACCUUUCAGGAGUUUCCAUGGACUGGGCUCCAACUCCAAGAGACCGCACAAGUGCAGAGCGUGAUUUGUUGGGCACGAAACACGGCAACCACCGGCCCAGUUUUGUGCUGAACUAUGCGAGCAUGAUUCCUUAACAACCUGGCAGUUGGUUGAAUUGUACGUGCUGGCACUGUGGUCGGCUAGGCCCAACCAUGGCGUAGUUAGUAGUCCCUGACAAAAGGCAGCCAUGCAAUGCAAUGCUCAUCCUUGAGCUUGAGCUGGGGCAGGUGCUGGCACAGGACCAGCCGGCCAGGACUUGACCGAAAGGGUCGACGGGGAUUUCCCCCAAAAGGAGAGGCGACGGUCGACGGAUAUGCAGCAAGGCAAACGCAGCAAGCAGACGCAAGGCGAUGGAAAAAAAAAACCAAGACAAGAGAUUAGGUGUGGCAUUGAUUGACGGGGCGGAGCAUGAGCAAGCGCAGUCCCUUUCGCGCCAUUGCAUUGAACACCGCCGGCAUGCAUGCGUAUACAGGCGACGAGCGAGACCGAAUUGAAGGGGCGGAUGAAUAUAAUAUAAUCAGUCGUCGUGCGUAAAGCGAAGCAC
rnacentral:lncRNA from 1 species